UACAGAGGUCCCAAGCGUUGUUCGGAUUCACUGGGCGUAAAGGGUGCGUAGGUGGUGAGGUAAGUCGGAUGUGAAAAUCUCCGGGGCUCAACCCGGAAAUGGCAUUGGAAAACUACCUUGCUGGAGGAUUUGAGGGGGGGAUUGGAAUACUUGGUGUAGCAGUGAAAUGCGUAGAUAUCAAGUGGAACACCAGUGGCGAAGGCGAAUCCCUGGAAAAUACCUGACACUGAGGCACGAAAGCUAGGGGAGCAAACAGG
rnacentral:rRNA from 1 species